AGAGUAAUUACCAGUUAUUCUCAACAUAUUGUUCCAAUUAUAAAGACAAAUUCAUAGAAACUUAUACGCUAUAUCUUUCUCUUAAGGAUCUCCUCCUGAAGACGAAAACUUCUAGAAUUUAAAAACUCCAGUUGCAAAACUUCGGAGAACGGAGAUUUCAAAUGUUAAGAACCUGAGAGUUCCAAAACUUCAGCCCCGAAAUUUCGGAAAAUGAAGUGUCCAAUCUAAAGUCCAAUCGAAGUUCAAAACAUCACCUCCAAAGUUGCAGUUUCAACAUUUCAGAAAAUUCCAAAUACUAAGAACUUGAGAAGAUUAACUUCUACGUUCUUCACGUUAUCCAGGUCUUCUUCAAAUUCCUCCGAAAGGUUUGUACACACAAGGUAGUAAUAAAGCUUUCUACACAAAACCCAAAUAAAACAGAUCAAAUACUGAUACCGAUUCAAUUUUAUACUUUCAAAAUCUACAUUUAAAUCAUUCAACGAUCACUGUAUUAACAACCUGUUAUCCUUCUCUAACAGAAACGAGUAGACUUAAAGUCUGUCAUUUUGAAGAAUGUCCUAUCCUCGAUGAAGAUAUCGCAGAGAAACGACGUAAGCGGCAAGGUCCGUUAGGAAAAGGGUGCAGGGAAAAUCGUCGGUUGGUCGAAGAUGAAAAAGUACAAGCUCGGUCGAGCGUUAGAAUCCGUUAGAGAGGAUUUCCGUGUAGGCAAACACGGGGCUGAGUGGUUCGUAUACGUUUCUCCCCGCUUCCACGUUCCACCGACGCGUUGGUUUCUCCAUCGCCUUAUCAGGCUUUCGACUCCUCUUCCUAUAUGUGUACCUAUAUACGUAUAUAGCUCUGUCUAUAAGCCACUAGAAACUUACUAAUUUUAAACAUAAUUCUUAUUAAGCAUUGAGCAGCAGAAUCAAGUUGAUGGUUUUCAAAAUGUAAUAAACAUACGUUACUUUAUAUCAAUGAACUUCUAAUAUAAUUGUAGUAAUAUAAUUGUAAUGAUAAUAUCGUCUAAUAUAAUAAUAGUAAUGUAUGUAUAAUUUAUAAGGUGAGCAGAUUUGUCUAGAAUACAAUAUUUGUCGAUUGUGUUUGUAUGUAGAAACAAAAUUUUUUAAGUAGAACGUGGGGUAUUCAAAAGAGUUAGAAAAUUGAGAGAUUUUCUUUAAAUCUAGUUCGACUCAGAAAAUGUAAAGAAGUUACUUUAAUUCACACAGAAGACACACGCAAGACAGAGAAUUCAAUUCAAUUCAGUGAACGCAAAGAAUUUACUAUAAUUCAGAGAGCGAAGAAUAUUCAAUUCAAUAGAAAGAAUACAAAGAAUUUAGCUUAAUUCGGUUUCCCUUAUAACGCAUACGAACAAUAAUAAGUAAUAACUGUCAACUUUAUAUUGUAAUAGCAAAGCUCAUUACUCCUUAUCCGAAAUGUAUAUAUACGUAUAUACACGUAAGUGUCCAGUGACUUAUGGAUAGGAGUGUAUAUACGUGCAAGUUGAUCGAGCAACGGGGAAACAUGCCUACCGGUCACGUUCGCGCCACUGUGCAAUCUGUUUAAGGCACAAUGCCCCUUAAUUUCGCCUCGUUAUAUGCUCUCGUUACGGGAAAUCGCCCCUUCCCUGUCGUCGUCCGGUAUCGCGUUAUCGGUUUCAUCUUCUCGUUGCCCCGAAAACCGUGGAAACCUGGUAAUCGGCAGGCAAUUGGUUCGGCUGAUCGAGAAGGUCAGUCUUUGGUAUCGAAUAGAAUAAUUGCUUCAAAGUGAAGUCUGAAUCAACAAACACAAAUGAUAGUCGAUAAAGGCAAUUAAUACGUCUCUGAUCCUAUUUUUUUUUCUUUUUUUUUGAAUGAUUAUGAGGAAAAUUAAGGAAUUGGAAAUAAGAAUCGACAAUGAAUCAACAGGGAUGACACGUCUGGUUCCAAAUUGUUAGAAACCUGCAUGACGGAUUGAAGUUUUAGAAGCAAGAAGUGAGCAAGAUAAAAACGUGUAUGCUAAAUAAAAAUAUGUAUGCUAUAUCCUAUAUUUGUUUGGAAACGUCAGCUUCGAUAAAAGCUAAUAGACCAUGGCAGAAGGUUAAAUUUCACAUAUAAAAUAAUACAUUAACGUAUGAAGACAUUGCGAAACAUCAUCACAGUAAAUGGAUUUUGUUUUCCUUUUCCAGUUGACGCGACUGGAGCAUCCUGUAGGAAUCCUGCAGUUUGAUUGUGCAAGGCAGAUGCUGCUUCUAAAUAGCAGUUGGUGUCCGCUGUGUUAAACAAUUUGAUUUCGUCUCUGAUUGGCACGCGGGAGAAUCUUGCACGAGGGAUGCAACUCCACGGUCCAGGUCGCGAGGGUCCGCCACAAUCAGCGUAGCCGUAGGGCUACGACUUCGGUGGCCUUCCACGUCAAAAGACGAACUCCGACAUCCUGAUGACACGGAAUCUUGAUGUUCUGGAAUCUGGACUGUAUUCGUUUCUCCGUGUUCGAGUAAACGUCAUAGAUGUGAAGUUCAAACAUUGAUUUUUCAAUUUAUUAUAGAAGAUAGAGUUUUGUUCAUGCAGGGAUGAAAAUGAUCGAAAUGAUAUCUUAUAGUGUUUUAUGAUCUUGUAGAGGUAAAUGAAUGAGGAGAUAUAAUCGGUUUUUUUUUUGUAGAAGAUAUAAAUUUUGGUGAUAAAGGGGUAAAGAAGAUUGGAGUGAUUUUUGUAUCGUUUAGAAUUUUGUAGUUGUAUGCAAGGUGAAUUUUAAAUAUUGCUUUUGAGAGAAGAUUGAAAUGUUUACAAUAGAGGGAUUUGUACUCUUUAUAGUUUUGUAGAAAUAUGAAAUAUGUACUUUAGACAUUGUUUUUUGAAAGAAGAGACGAAUGAUAAUAGAAAGAUGAAAGUUGAGAUGAUUUUCAUAUUUCCUCUAGCUUUGCACAAGCACGGGAGAAACGAAUUUGAAACAUUGUUACUGGAAAAGAUAUGCCUCUAUAUUUCAAUAGCUUGGCAAAAGUUCAUAAGAUGUUAGAAAAUCAGUUAAAAAUCUGCAGCUGGUGUUACGCUAUGUUAACAAGCAGCACCUGCCCACUGAGACCUUAUUUGCAUCCCUGUUCCAGCUGUUUUAUCCGUCUACAUAAAUUAUUCUCACGAUACAAUAACACAGCGUCUAAACUAAACGAAAACAUUGGAAAGGCAGAAAUGCAAACUUUCAAGUUGUAACGUUCAAGUACUAUACAUGACCUGUUUAACUGUAUCACAUAAGGAGAGUCAGCCGAGUCAGUCAUACUAUACAGACAGCAAGUCAACAAGUUCCUUCUGUAUGUUGCCUAUUGUACAGUCUAACAUCAUCAGACCACUUUUCAAAGAGGUCUCAUUAACUGGCUUUUAUUAACCUGUCUAAUCUUUUCAGCGGGUUAAACGGAAUCUUCAGAGGAGAAACUAUGAUCCAUAUUAUGAGUAAGACUGUCAAACAAUUGAAAAUAGAGGAAAGCAAAAGAAGAGUUAAACGUCGAACGAAGAAGUUUGGAUUAGAUUGGACAUUUCUUCGCCACAAUAUAAAUUAUUACGUGAUGAUAAACGAGGUAGCAUAAACCAACUUCAUUGAGAUAGAGUCAACUGUACUUAUCUUUAAUAUACAACUCAUAUUGUUGUAUAGUUGAAUGACUAUAGUCUUCAGUAUAUCUAGCGUAAUUGGAAGUUUGACAUCGGUUUUAUAUAGCGAGUGCUCGACAUUGGUUGAUUGUAAGUCAUCUUUAGUAUAUACAUCACAUGAGUACAUUGUUUAAUCAUAGUCACUUUAAUUAAGAUACUAGAACUCUAUAAUCGGGUGUACCCAGCACCCUUACCACGUCGAGUUAAUUCGUUAAUUGUUUCUUAUAGGCUUACAAGAUCCUCCAAAUAAAAGUUAAAAUCUGAAUUUAUAAAUUAAUUUGAUAAUCAUGUCACUCAAUCUAAUUCAUGUUUACUAAUGGUAAGACACUUGAUUCCAUCUAUUAUUUAACAGUGAAAUUAUGGCAAUAUUUAUAAUACCUGAUAUUUUCCAGCACUUUAGAAUGGCAGUUGAGAUUUAAGAAUCAUAUUGCCAAAGAUUGUGUGGUACAGCGUAUGUUCUAACUAUAAAGUUCAAAGGUCAGUAGCACAGAAGUCAUCGACAGUCGUGUACGUCAGACACGUUACGUCACUUCGAAUAGACGUUCUGCUAUUGUCACGCGUAUAUCUGCGCAUUCACGAGCAAUUACCCGGGGUGGGGUAAUCCCGUUAGGCGACGUACAGCUUCCACGGGGGAGGAUCAAAGGACUCGCUAUUCCAAGCUGCUGCACUCUUUGGUUGUUUCAGUCGUCGCUACAAUGCUACUGGGGCCUGCAAGAAGGGGAAUCAUCCACGUCUACGUCGUUCCACGACUUUGUUGGAACUUGGGCAACUUCCUAAUGCACACCUCUGUUCAACCAGCGUCGCUACGCAGCUUCGUACAAUUAUCGUUACUAUUCCGUUUCCGUACCUUUCCCAUAUUUUUAGCCCUUUAUAUCUGAACUUCCAGUUUCGUUUUUCUGCCACAAGUGUUAACAAAUCCUCUUGAUACUGUCUUUGCAUCGUCGUUGCAAUGUUUUGGAUCGUGGUAGAUUUGCAUAAUACAUCUUGAAUUUCUAUGGAAUUAGAAAAUGAGCGGGCUUUCAGAUCUUGAUGAUGUGGCGAAGAUUGAAAUGGUAAAGAAUUCUUACUGGAACUGGACCUAUCAGAGAUAUUUUGGAUAUUUUGCUCUCACGAUUAGUAAAAAUACUCAGGAGCAACGCUAAUUUGUGAAUAAGUGCUGAAGCUUGAAAGGAAACAUUUAUAUCGGAAAUUAACUUGCAUUCAGAAACUGACGCGGCACACGCUAAAUCUUCUGUACUUAUACGGUUAGCAGAGAACGUGGCAGCGCGGUGGAAAAAUUCUGCAACGCGACACGAGACGGCAAUCGCUUAAUUGUGAUUAAUUGCGGUUUUACCAGGAAAAGAUCGCGUUGUAACUGGCGCGAGUCGCUCAAGCGAUUCGCUUGCUCGCGCAACUUUAAAGAGCCAGUUGCGUGCAAUGCUUGUUUCCUUACUUUCACGCAUCGUAUCGAAACUAUAGCCCUCUUGAUUUCUCAGCCAUUCUACUCGAUCGUGCACGCUGAUCUUUUUUCACGAUAACGGUUAAGACCAUCCUCUUUCUACCUCUGGCUGACCGCCGCAAAUAACUUUAUUGCGGCAAUUAAAAUUAUCGCUGUCCCGGUUAAAUCAUCUGGUAUUAUAACAUUUUUUUCAUGAUAAGCUUCUUUCUCUUAAAUUCUUAGUAUAUACGUUCAUGGAAAUGUAUUUUCAUUAUUUUUCCAAAUCAACACACGCACUCUCUUUUGGAGUUUACUCUUUUGGAGGAGAUCCAAUAUUCUGCACAAAUAUUUUCUUUAGGUCUUUAAUGCUUCCUAAUCCUAUUCACCUUACAAGUUUUUGCUAGGAACCAGAUUAGUUCUAUAGAUAUGUAUAAAUUGUAGCUUGGCAGCUCUAGUGUUAAUUAAACGGUACAUGAUGUAAAUGUCAAAUAAUCUUGAAAUCUCUACGUACAAUAAUUCUAUCCAACUUAUAAUUCCUCUGACUGCUAAAGUAUAACAAAAUUUUGCACACAUGGAUGAUUGGCUUUUAAAUUAUUUUCCAGGAGGCUGUGUAAUUAUAUCAUCCUUAAUGUUCAUGUCGCAGGAAAAUGUCCCAUGAACCGCAAUACAAUUUAGCUGCAUCACGUUCAAGAUGAAUACUUACAAGAUGUAAGCUUAAGGUACGAUGGAAGGAGGAAAGUUUCGAUGCCUAUUGCUGCGACAUCCGGUUUCCGGACAAGUGAAAUGGCGAAUGGAAUAAUUUAAUACAGGGGCGAUACAAGGGCCAAAGCGAUCGGUCUAAUCGUGUCUGAACGAGGUUAAAACACCGGCACCCGCCGCUCUUAUUUACGUCCGACAAUAAGUCAAUUCAUCACUCUGCGAUUUGGCCUUAAGUGGUAUCACUGACUCAUACACACAGCCGUCUGGAGCGGUGUGCCUAUUUCGGGCAUAAAUCACAGUUGCCCGUGCGGUGCGUAAUAAUGAACAAGCGAGCGUAGCACGCGACCCUUUAAACGUGCUGGCUGGAAAACGAGUGGCUCGUAAGGUAGCAGGGAUUAGCUUUGGUCCCUAUGUGUCCCUGCUUAAUCCUGAAAACGUUACGGGCCGCGAAAUUCUUCGCCCGUAUCAGGUCACGUAAAAAUGCAAUUUUAUGAGUACGUAGGUUUACAAACCAGGGGCCAGGCUAUGCAGAUAAUAACGAAGAUAAAGAAAUGGAUUUUUAUUGCUUGAUACAUUGGUAAAGCUAGCGUAUAAUCAGUUUAUAUAUUUUAGGAGUAUCGUGGUCGAAGGAAUAUUUUUAGAACGGUAACUCUAGGAUUUGAAUUGCGAGGGCAAAAUUGUUUCUAGUAUGCAGUCGGUGAUGCAAUUGCGUUUGCUCAGAGAAAUAGAAGAUACCGGGGAAGAUAACACGAAUUAAAGCUUAAACAUAAAUAAUUGCACGGUGCUACGAUAAGAAUGGUAAGUUGUUGGUAAGCAAGUAACAAAUAAAUAAUUAAUCAGCGAAGAACUUGAUUGAUGAUUAGUUCUGUAUGUAUUAAGGGGCACCAUAGGUAGCUAAUACUCUGAAUACUCUGGUAAUAUAAAGAUGCACGGAAGAAAAUGUAUUACUGUUACACCAGUUGAUGAUUAACAUAGAAUGCCUAUCACUUUUCUAUCUAGUCGUCGUAAGUAACUA